AAGGAGGAUUUGUCGUUUAGUCCUUAAAUCUGUUUGCGACCAAAUGAUACGUUGUUACCAAGGAUGACAACGUUUAUCAAGCAUAGAUCGUUGUGUGCCAUAUAGGUUGGUUGUCCUCUUAACCAAUGAGUGUGGAGACACUGGUAUGGCAUACAGGUGAGAUGUAAGGGUACAUCUGCAUUGAACGUGACCGACUCUGGAGCUAUUUCUGCUGUCAAGAUUUGCUCCGAUGGAAUAUGGGUAUAAAUAUCUCUCCGACCUGAGACCGCCACGGUGACUUGCAAGCAACUCACUGCACUUAGGCACUGGACUACCUGAAUUUUUAAUUCAGUGAUGGAAGGCUGCUGGGUGUAGUCAAGUACUUGACUUGUCGGUGCAUGUGUCAAGAUGGGAUUGACCACUCCAGUUUAGGAGCUGUGUACAGUCAUAUUUCAAUUUAGCAAAACCUUGGCCAGGGUAGUCCUUGUGAGGAGUCACAGGACUGUUUGAGUUGAGCAUGAUUCAGAUGAUCUGAUCAGGGUUGACAGUUUAACCCUGAGUC
rnacentral:lncRNA from 1 species